rnacentral:tRNA from 1 species
GUUGGGAUAGCUCAGUUGGUAGAGCAGAGGACUGAAAAUCCUCGUGUC